UACAGAGGUCCCGAGCGUUGUUCGGAUUUAUUGGGCGUAAAGGGUGCGUAGGCGGCGGAGUAAGUUGGGUGUGAAAUCCCGGGGCUCAACCUCGGAAUUGCAUUCAAUACUGCUUCGCUCGAGUACUGGAGAGGAGGCUGGAAUUUACGGUGUAGCAGUGAAAUGCGUAGAUAUCGUAAGGAAGGCCGGUGGCGAAAGCGAGCCUCUGGACAGUUACUGACGCUGAUGCGCGAAGGCCAGGGGAGCAAACGGG
rnacentral:rRNA from 1 species